UCUUUCAGUUGGAAAGUCGAAACAGACGAUCAUAUACAACAACUAUUAAACGAAAAACCGAACAAAUAUGAAGACCAUAUCAAUUAUGUUCAUUCUGGCUGCGUUUGUGUGCAGCACAAUAUCAUCACCUAUUGAUAAAGCAGAACCUGAGAGCCCCGUAGAGAUCAACAUGACUCCAGUACAGAUUGUGAUCAAUCCAACUCAGACUCUGUUCUGUACAAACUCAUGGUGUCACAAUAUAUGUGUACAACUUGGAACAAGGACCGGUUACUGUAAUGCUCAAAAUCAAUGCCAGUGCACUUUUUAAUGGAUCUAGGAUCUGGAUAAUAAAAUUAUAAGAUUUAAGCUUUAACUAAAUUAAGUACACAAUUAAAUAUUACAAACCACAAUCAAUAAAUAAAUACAUUUAUA